rnacentral:rRNA from 1 species
GACGAACGCUGGCGGCGUGCCUAAUACAUGCAAGUCGAGCGGACAGAUGGGAGCUUGCUCCCUGAAGUCAGCGGCGGACGGGUGAGUAACACGUGGGCAACCUGCCUGUAAGACUGGGAUAACUCCGGGAAACCGGGCUAAUACCGGAUAACUCUUUUCCUCACAUGAGGAAAAGCUGAAAGAUGGUUUCGGCUAUCACUUUACAGAUGGGCCCGCGGCGCAUUAGCUAGUUGGUGAGGUAACGGCUCACCAAGGCCACGAUGCGUAGCCGACCUGAGAGGGUGAUCGGCCACACUGGGCUGAGACACGGCCCAGGACUCCUAGGAGGCAGCAGUAGGGAAUCUUCGCAAUGGACAAAGUCCUGACGAGCAACGCCGCGUGAGUGAUG